CAGGAUAUGAUUUAUAGCAUGAAUUAGCUGCUUUUGUGUGAUGAAGGGUAUAAUUAAACUCUGGUAGCAGCAUGCGGCCAUGGCAAAUGGCUUGGCAGAGAGCUGAUCUCUGGAAGCUGGCUUACACGGAACAGGGUUUGUGUUGCUGGUGCCACCGACAGGUCAGCAGGACAGCCUGGUCCCUGAGCAGGCUCCUUCCUAUCUUUGUCAAGCUCAAAGGCAACACGCGGGUUUACAAGGAGCAAGGCAAGCCAGAAGGUAUCUCCAGUGACGUCAUAAGGAAAUCCUCAAGAAAAUCUGCUGGUUGGAGACUGCCAAAAGGCUUCUCCCUGUCAAAAUCCUGACUGACAGCAAGUCAGCCAAACACUCUCUAGAAAGGACCUCCCGUGAAGCUUCUUGUGCCUGCUGUUUUGAGCUCCUUGGUACAGACAAGUCAACUCCAGGCCUGUAAUGAGGAACAAAGAUUUGGUGUACUUGCUACACAAGUACUAGAGAUGCUAAAGUAGCUGUCCAUUCCAGGGGUGUUUAUAGCAUCUCAUCCCUUCUUGGCAAGGUGCACAAGGCUUGGCGCACUGCAUGAGGUCUCCCUCCUUGGCAAGGGGCUGAAGAGAUAACUGUACUCUGUAAUGUGGCUGUGGCUGGUAGGAGGUGUGCCCAUGGCCUCUUCUGAUGGAGAUGUGUGUACACCCUUAGGAGCACCUCAGACCUCAGCUCUGGUCAGCCCUGUGGAGAUCACAGAAUCAUAUAAUAGUUAGGGCUGGAAAGGACCUUAAGAUCAUUUGGUUCCAACCCCCCUGCCAUGGGCAGGGACACCUCAUACUAGACCAUGUUGCCCAAGGCUCUGUCCAACGUGGCCUUGAACACCACCAGGGAUGGAGCACUCACAACUUCCUUGGGCAACCUGUUCCAGCAUUCCAGUGCCUCACCACCCUCACAGUAAAGAACUUCUUCUUUGUAUCUAACCUGAACUUCCUCUGUUUAAGUUUGAACCUGUUACCCCUUGUCCUGUCACUACAGUCCGUAAUGAAGAGUCCCUCACCAGCAUCCUUGUAGGCCCCCUUCAGAUACUAGACGGCUGCUAUGAGGUCUCUGUGCAGCCUUCUCUUCUCCAGGUUGUACAGCCCCAAUUCUCUUAGCCCAUCUUUGUAUAUGGAGAUAAGCAAGGACAACCCAGUUAGGUCUUCCACACGUAGGAGUUGGUGUGCUAGGAGUUGUCCGCCUCUGACCUCAGGUCUGCCGGCCACCCUCUGCUCUUCCUCCCUGCCCGCCCAAAGCAGGCCUGGGGCCGCGGCCUCUGGUGGGGGAGACUGCCCCUAGGCCACUCAAAGGCGCUCCCAUUCUCCG
rnacentral:lncRNA from 14 species